AGCAGCCGCGGUAAUUCCAGCUCCAAUAGCGUAUAUUAAAGUUGUUGCAGUUAAAAAGCUCGUAGUUGAAUUUCGGGAUCAAAUUGUCGGUCGUGCCUCGGUACGAACUGGUAUUAUUGGUUCCUACCUUCUGAAGAACCGCGAUGUCAUUAAUUUGGUGUCGUGGGGAAUCAGGACUGUUACUUUGAAAAAAUUAGAGUGUUUAAAGCAGGCUUACGCUUGAAUACAUUAGCAUGGAAUAAUGAAAUAGGACGUUUGAUUCUAUUUUGUUGGUUUCUAGGAUUGACGUAAUGAUUAAUAGGGAUAGCUGGGGGCAUUAGUAUUCAAUUGUCAGAGGUGAAAUUCUUGGAUUUAUUGAAGACUAACUACUGCGAAAGCAUUUGCCAAGGAUGUUUUCAUUAAUCAAGAACGAAAGUUAGGGGAUCGAAGACGAUCAGAUACCGUCGUAGUCUUAACCAUAAACUAU
rnacentral:rRNA from 1 species